GUAGGUGAACCUGCGGAAGGAUCAUUAUUGAAUAUUCUUGAUGAGUUGUAGCUGGCUCUCCGGGGCAUGUGCACGCUUGUCUUGACUCUAUUCAUCCACCUGUGCACCUUUUGUAGUCUUGGGGGUUGAAAGCAGUCGACUAUCGGAUGGCUACGGCUACUCCGGAUGUGAAAAAUGCUGAGCGCAGAGACGCAUACAGCUCUUCUCAAAUGACUUGCAUACCCUUGAGUACUAUGUAUUCAUAUACCAU
rnacentral:misc_RNA from 1 species